GUGCUGCCACUGCGGAUGCACUGACUGGGUAUUGUACAUUUUUUCCAACAUUGUGCAAAGUCAUAUCGACAAGAAUAAUACGAUGGAAGCAAAUUUCGUUCCAGUCAUUGGCAGCAGAGAACUGGAAGGAGAGACGGCCAAAGGAAAAAUUGGCUCUGGGGGUGACCAGAGAGAUAUACCUGCUGGAGCGCAUGCUACAGUCCCCACAGAUGCUGAUGAGAGUCCAGAACUGGAAUAUGCUGACAUCAAUAUUCUAAAGAAGAUGGAGAAACACAGGGAGGUUCCAGAGGAUGUGGAGUAUGGACAGGUUGUAGUAUUGAAGGGUUCCAGACCAACCACAGAGAGAGACAGACCUGAGGGGCGGGAGGAGACUAUGUAUGCUGGAAUACAGCUUGACCAAUGAGAGAGAUUCUUGUGAAGGGUUGAUAUUUAGACAUAGUAUUAAAGCUCUAUUGCUUCUUUUGUUACUGUAACUAUUAGUAUCUAACGUUCCCAUAUUUCUGUAAAUAUUUUCAUAAAAUGUAAAUGAACAACUAAACUGUAUACACUUGCCGUAGUGUGUCCUUGUUAUUGAUUUAAUGUGUUUUUGUAACGUUUGCUUCCAACUCACACUCUCAAACACGUAGAUCCCCUGAACGCAGCUCACUCUCCAAAUCCCAAUCACCUGAAUUUUGAUCACCUGUUCACACACCUGUAUGUCAUUUACACACACUAUGUUGUUCAGUUCUUGCACCCCAUCACUAUGAGGUAUUGUUUGUUUUGUGACACACGUCUUUCAGAGUGCUGGUUUUCCCAGUGAUUUACUUCUUCCGUGUAUGAUAGUGUUUGCCUGCCUCACUAAUGACGCCUUUUUGCCUUUUUUUGCCCCGGAUUUCCUGUUAUAUACAGUGGGGAGAACAAGUAUUUGAUACACUGCCGAUUUUGCAGGUGUUCCUACUUACAAAGCAUGUAGAGGUCUGUAAUUUUUAUCAUAGGUACACUUCAACUGUGAGAGACGAAAUCUAAAAAAAAAAUCAGAAACCCACGUACUAAAAUAACAUGCAAAACAGGCAACAACAAAAAAAGCUAGAUAAACAGGUGAACUCAAAACAGGUGUCCCACCUGCUCUGAAUUACGGGUCACCACUGGCUGUUAAUAUAAUGAAGAAGUGAGACUUCGAUGAGGCUCUUCCUCUUUCCUAUGUCAGAACCGAUGAAUAGGGUAAAAAUUACACCUCUUCUUUUGCUUGUCACACAAUGGGUGAAUUCUUCUGAGUGGCAGGAACAGCUAUCUCUCAUACUAUCCUUGCAUUGGUUUUUGUUUAUGCUGUAAGACAUUGCCAGAUUAUGGAAAUGCAGCUCUGAAUAGAAAAUAGAGGACUUUGUUGAAGUACCAAAGUUAAUUUGAUAAACUGAGACCCUGCAUUGUAAAGAGACAUGGAGGCUGUUUUAGGACUGUUGGUGAUGUCAGCAGGAGUGUCUCAUGGUAAGAAACAUCUUUAUAUGUGUUGGUUUCCCUCUUCUUUUAUGCAGAAUAUAAUAUCAGUAGUCUUCUAUACAUGUAGCAGAAAUGACGGAUGGUGAUAGACAAUAUUCAGAACAAGGUAGAAGACAGUUGUCACUUUACUCAUUGUCCCAUGAUAAUGAUCACUGACUUAAUGAUCCCUAUCACGUUGAUGCUGUUGGUUUGGUUAUACUGUUAGCCGCUUGUACCCUCAUCUGUAAAAUGAUACAUGACUUGACAUGGGUUAGAACAGUGAUAGUCACUACAGUGUCUAUUUUUCUUCUUGAUCUUCAGGCUUGGAAACUUCCUGUGAUGCUAGAGAAGAUGGAUCUCAGUGUUAUGGAGCUCUGGGAGGAACUGUCUAUCUCCAGCUGACUGAUACCAUGGCAUAUAAUCACUACUCAUUUUAUAAAGGCUCAACUGGUGCUAAAACAGAGAUACUGAAAACAAAGGUCACACUGCUCCAGUGUCCAGUCCUCAGCUGUCCUCUGAGUGUCUGUCUCAUGGAGAGAUGAGGGUGUCCUGCUCCUCUGAGGGGGAUGGUUCCCAGUACAGCUGGACUCUGGAUCGACAGACGCUGAGACACACUAAGGCCUCUUCUGAUAACGAGACAAACACCAUCACUCUGAAGAAAGGCCUGUCAGGAAAUCUCACCUGUACCGUCAGAAACUACAUCAGCAGUGAUUCUAUCAGCAAGAGAAUCUCACCUUGUCCAGGAGUCAGUGUGUUUGUUUAUUUCCAACUCGCUGAAGUCUUCAUUCUUCUGACAGUCUGUCUGGGAUCAUACUGUUUCUACAAGAAGGAAACCUAUCAUCGUAAAGAAGCCACAGACAUGGUGACCACCUGUAAUGCUACUCAGAACUUAUCCCAGUGUUCUGUUGUUCUGGAUGGAACUCUGGAUGUCUAGCUAAUGACCAACGCUAGUGGACGGGAACUGCUGUUUAAAAAGAACCUCUGAACCACAGGUGGCCAGUGUGAAAAAUUCUAUGACGUACACUUUUAGAUUUCUCCAAAUGUUCAGAUUUUCACACUCAACUUCACACUUUUUAACAUAAAAACAAAAAACAAAUUAUGUUCUAAGCCCAUAACAAUUCUUAAACCACAUCAGGAGAUAACUUUUGACGUCUGCACACUUACCCCAAAAGUGUGCAGACACCUAGCAAUGUUGUUUAGUUUGCAGUGUUUCUGUAGCACAUGAGAUGGAGUUUGCAAAGGAAAUGGCUACUGGUUUGAUGCAAAUAAUCAUGAUAUCAUUCUGACAGGUAGGCAUAAGCUACUUUGGAGCUACUGUAGUCAACAUUUAAUAGAGAGUUAACAUUUAAUACAGGUUUUUGGGAAAGCCUUUCCAUCUACCAGAAGACGGUUAUGCCUAUCAUUACCAUUGCUAUAUUUUUCCUUUUCCUUAAUUGUUUGAAACCUGGACAUUUUACUUCAUAUUAUGAGGAUGACUUACCUUGAAAGUAGCCCAUCACCAAAAUCCCACCAUAGAAACGUGGAGGAUAAUGCCUUCGACAUUAUCCUCACAUCUCCAUCUGAACCGAAAAUGAUUUGCAUUGAUACCCCCCCCCCCUUUGUUUUUACACUGCUGCUACUCGCUGUUUACUAUCGAUGCAUAGUCACUUUACCCUUACCUAUAUGUACAAAUGACCUCGAUUAACCUGUACUCCUGCACAUUCACUCGGUACCGGUACCCCAAGUAUAUAGCCUCAUUAUUGUCAUUUUAUUGUGUUCAUUUUUUAAAUGAAUUGUUUAACUUUAUUUAUUUAGUAAAUAUUUUGUUAACAUUUUGUUAAAACUGCAUUCUUGGUUUAGGGCUUGUAAGUAAGCAUUUCACAGUAAAGUCUACACCUGUUGUAUUCGGCGCAUGUGAAAAACAUUACCAGAUUGAAACAAACCUUCCACAGUUUACUAGACUGUAGAAAGCAGUGACAGAAUGUGAAACUAAUAAUGAGUCUGUGGAAGGUCUAUACCAUAAGAGGGAUUUCUGUGUCAAAUGGUUGAGAAUGUGGACUUCAUUAC
ensembl:lncRNA